rnacentral:rRNA from 1 species
UACGGAGGGUGCAAGCGUUAAUCGGAAUUACUGGGCGUAAAGCGCACGCAGGUGGCUGAGUCAGUCGAUUGUGAAAGCCCUGGGCUUAACCUGGGAAUUGCAGUCGAUACUACUCAGCUAGAGUAUGGGAGAGGGUAGUGGAAUUCCCGGUGUAGCGGUGAAAUGCGUAGAUAUCGGGAGGAACAUCAGUGGCGAAGGCGGCUACCUGGCCCAAUAUUGACGCUGAGGAGCGAAAGCCAGGGGAGCAAAGCGGG